rnacentral:rRNA from 1 species
GAUGAACGCUGGCGGCGUGCCUAAUACAUGCAAGUCGAGCGAACAGACGAGGAGCUUGCUCCUCUGACGUUAGCGGCGGACGGGUGAGUAACACGUGGAUAACCUACCUAUAAGACUGGGAUAACUUCGGGAAACCGGAGCUAAUACCGGAUAAUAUAUUGAACCGCAUGGUUCAAUAGUGAAAGACGGUUUUGCUGUCACUUAUAGAUGGAUCCGCGCCGCAUUAGCUAGUUGGUAAGGUAACGGCUUACCAAGGCAACGAUGCGUAGCCGACCUGAGAGGGGGGCCGCCACAAGUGAACCGACGCCCGGGUCCAACCUCGGCGGGGAGGAGGAAGGGGGGAUUUUCCGGAAAGGGGGAAAGGCCGGAAGGGGCAACGCGGGGGGGGGAAGAAGGUUUUUGGAAUCAAAAAACUUUUUUAUGAGGAAAAAAAAAAUUGGAAAUAAAUAAUGCGCGUCUGAAGGUACCCUAACAGAAAGGCCAGGACAAACUACGGC